GGCUGGGUAGCUCAACAGGCAGAGCGGAUCUCUGAAGAUGAUCAGGUUAUACGUUCGAGUCGUAUUCCAACCA
rnacentral:tRNA from 1 species